UUUUUUUUAAAAGUGUGCAGAGUUUUAACGUCCAUCCAUUGAUGAGGCUAGCAAGACCUUCAAACAACUUCAGCCAAUUGCAACAAAUGUGGUGGAAUUUCUUCUCUGGACAGAAUCCUCGAAACCCUUUCCUUUCGUCCUGGCCAUGGGAAACAUGCAGCAGACCUCUCAAUCUUUUUUCUCAAUCAGUCUCUCUGAAUACGGAAGUGACUUAAACUGCAAUUCGGCCAAGAUGGCGACGGCACGCACCGCCUACUUUAAGCUUCAAAAAUGCUCUUCACAAACCAAUGGGUGACGUCACAGACACUACUUGCAUAUUUUUUACAGUCUCUGGUUUAAAGGCAUUUUAAGUGCUUAAAAAAAUAAAUACCCCAGGCAAUGUGCUUCUAUGGGAAUUCCUGUAGUCUGUCAUUUUUCAAAUGGAUGAAUCCCCUGCUGUUCGAUUCCUUUGUACAUCUUUGUUCGCGACGAGUAACUUUAAUAAAUGAAGUAUUUUUAGUCAAAUACAUUCCAUUCUGUGAAACUUAAAACAUUUGUUCUUUAAAAAAACUUUACA